UACGUAGGGUGCGAGCGUUAAUCGGAAUUACUGGGCGUAAAGCGCACGUAGGCGGAUUGCUAAGUCAGGGGUGAAAUCCUGGAGCUCAACUCCAGAACUGCCUUUGAUACUGGCGACCUUGAGUCCGGGAGAGGUGAGUGGAACUGCGAGUGUAGAGGUGAAAUUCGUAGAUAUUCGCAAGAACACCAGUGGCGAAGGCGGCUCACUGGCCCGGUACUGACGCUGAGGUGCGAAAGCGUGGGGAGCAAACAGG
rnacentral:rRNA from 1 species